AAAUUGUUUUUUAAGAAAAUAUUAUUAUUUACAUUAAUAAUUUUAUUGUGCAAUUCAAUUCGGUUUA
rnacentral:tRNA from 1 species